UUACCCCUCCACGUUCCCUUCCCCCCGGCAUUGUGUUUGCAGUGGGGGUCUGGGGAGGUGACGAGAGUCUGGGGCCAGCAGCGGGCACAGAGAGGGAAGCUGGCAAAGAGGGUUGAUGGAGCUGGGUCCCUGCUUUGUCCGCCCCACCAGGUCUGAUGCCACCGCAGCGGGCUCUGCCUCCGCACGUGCCGUUUCUGGGGAUUGAUUUGCAACCAGCUGACUCUUAGCCGGAGGGAAGGGGGCUGCCCAAGUGACCCAGAGCUUCCCUCCAGCCCUGCUCUAGGCAGCCCAGUUGGGUGGGAAGACUCUGGUCUUCAUUUGGGCUGGGGUUUCGAUCAGAUUCUGUCAGAUGUCCCACCUUGGGAGAGUCACCUGUGCUGCCAGUGACACAGAACGGUGUGCCUCCUGCGACAUUCGGAAGUGGCGAGUGCUGGGGUACAUCCCCAAACAAAAUGUAGCAGUCGCCUUAAGGAUUAGCUUCAGGCUGCUUCUGCCUGCCAGGUAACGGUGGGCCCCAGGGGUACUGGGGGCUCCCCGUCUCCAACCAUUGCCCUGACACAUUCGCUCAGAGGGGACAUGAGGUUACUGGGAUUGGACAGGUCACCCUGCCCUUCCCAUUCUCCCUGUGUCAACCCACCAAAGUUUGAAGGCCUCUGUUAUACUGGCUUAGGAGCCCACCUCACUCCGGUGUGACCUCAUCUGUCCAAGCACCCAUCUUCCCCAGACACAAGCUAACUCACAGAUAGAUCAGUAUGUCUACUGAUAGAUGAUCAUGGCUAUGGGCUGCCAUUCAUGGAAGACUUACCAGUAUAGGUGCUGAACACGGCUGUCAACUCCCCGAAGAUUCACGGAGCUUGACUCUGAUUUGCGGACGUGUCUAUCCAUAAGGGGGGUGGAAAGAUGAAAUUAACAAACCAGGGUGAUUCAGCAGGUUACAUCAUGGUCACAAGACGAUUUCUGGAAAUUGCAGCAAGAAAAUGACAUGGUCCUACAGCUUUUUUUUUU